rnacentral:rRNA from 1 species
UACGUAGGGACCAAGCGUUGUUCGGAUUUACUGGGCGUAAAGGGCGCGUAGGCGGCAAUUCAAGUCAUCUGUGAGAUCUCCGGGCUUAACUCGGAAUGGUCAGGUGAUACUGCUUUGCUAGAGUGCAGAAGGGGCAGUCGGAAUUCUUGGUGUAGCGGUGAAGUGCGUAGAUAUCAAGAGGAACACCUGAGGUGAAGACGGGUUGCUGGGCUGACACUGACGCUGAGGCGCGAAAGCUAGGGGAGCAAACGGG